UCCCUUCACCCCCUCACCAGCAGCCCUCAACAUGUGGCAGACAGAGGAGCCUGGAUCCAGCCUGGCCUACAGGCCAACAUGGCGAGGGGGAAGAAUGGCCGACAACAUUUCCUGCUCUGCGCCUGAGGUAAUCCACAUCCUUAGCCUGCUGGAAACUAUUAAGCACAACUAAGACCAGCUGAUUGCGAAGGUGCUGUGAGUAAAAAUGUGUUGACAAGGUCAGCCACGGAUGCUGAGGUCACCAAACACGCCAUCAGGUGGUUCAACUUGGCGGGGGAUCGGGCAACGAGGAGACGAGUCCCGCUUCCACCUCCUCAGGAGGAAUAGAGAUGUAU